GACGAACGCUGGCGGCGUGCUUAACACAUGCAAGUCGAGCGGUAAGGCCCUUUCGGGGGUACACGAGCGGCGAACGGGUGAGUAACACGUGGGUGACCUGCCCUCAGCUCUGGGAUAAGCCUGGGAAACCGGGUCUAAUACCGGAUAUGACUCCAUGACGCAUGUUGUGGGGUGGAAAGCCUUGUGCGGCUGAGGAUGGGCCCGCGGCCUAUCAGCUUGUUGGUGGGGUGANGGCCUACCAAGGCGACGACGGGUAGCCGGCCUGAGAGGGCGACCGGCCACACUGGGACUGAGACACGGCCCAGACUCCUACGGGAGGCAGCAGUGGGGAAUAUUGCGCAAUGGGCGGAAGCCUGACGCAGCGACGCCGCGUGGGGAUGACGGCCUC
rnacentral:rRNA from 1 species